CGCCUGCGCACUCCUGAGUGUGCCACCGGCACGCGCGCGCCACUGUCUCGGCUAUUUUGUGGUGAGAAGGAAACAUUUAUUACAGUACUGUUUCUCAUGGAACAAGAACAUGUAGUUUCAUGGUGCACGGCUGCCAGAUGUUUCCCAGGUUUCAGUGUCCCAGGUAGAUAAAGGAAAAUUCGGCAAGGUCAGAAGAGAGAAGAACAGAUUUCUCAUGAAAUAGGAAUGGUAACUGUGUCCCAAGUGUACAGAAGGGGAAGAAUUGAAGUCUUUCUGGAAGAAAAUAGAUACAAUCCAGCGUGAAUCAAGAAAUAGAAUUAUUAGCAUAUUCUUUCAAUACCAAGAAGUAAAUUCCAGAUGCAAUGAAGACUUCUUUCCAGAGACAGAAUCUUGAGGAGCAGCUUUCACUGAGCACCUUCCCCUCCAGGUGCCGUACAUAAUGCAGUUAAGGAAUGGACCAAAAUUGAAAUCACUGGGUAAUGAAGAGAACGUAGCUUUGGGAAAACUUUGGAAUCAGAUAGCCUUGAGUAGAGAUUUCAGCCACUCCACUAAGCAGCUGUACUCAUUCUAUGAGUAACAUAUCUUCUCUGGGCCUCGGUUUCCUCAUUUGUGAAACAGGGAUACUAUAUCUGUCUCACAGACUUCUUUGAGAAUUAAAUGGUUGUAAAAAAGCCUACUCUUGAUUCUGGCACAUAGUUGGUGCUUAAUAAAUGUCAGUUCUCACCUUCCCAGUAUUGUCAGACUUGCUCUGAAAAGUACUUCUGUGUCUCCAUACAUUAGAAAAUGAAAAUUAAGUUUUCACGUGUAGGUGGAGAGGAUGGAGAGC